UACAGAGGUCUCAAGCGUUUGUUCGGAUUCAUUGGGCGUAAAGGGUGCGUAGGCGGCGCGGUAAGUCGGGUGUGAAAUCUCGGAGCUUAACUCCGAAACUGCAUUCGAUACUGCCGUGCUUGAGGACUGGAGAGGAGACUGGAAUUUACGGUGUAGCGGUGAAAUGCGUAGAUAUCGUAAGGAAGACCAGUGGCGAAGGCGGGUCUCUGGACAGUUCCUGACACUGAGGCACGAAGGCCAGGGGAGCAAACGGG
rnacentral:rRNA from 1 species